CUUAUGCCAUGCAUUUGCAUGGAGACUCUUCACCCUUUUUCUGUAUUUUAUCACUAAUUAAUUCUAAUGCGACUCUAACACUAAUUUCGAUUGGUUAAUAUAGCCUUCCGUUUUAUCUGAUUUCGUUAAUUUGUUUUUCUAGCCCUUAUUUCGACAGCGGUUAUUUAUUUUCGUAACCUAGCUCUUUCUACUGCUUUACUGCACAAUGAUCUUCCAACAACAACUGUAGCAGUGCUGCU